rnacentral:sRNA from 1 species
AGCCAGCUAUGUGUAAAUAAUAGGGUUUCUUCAAGAAUUUAAGUAACUAUUCAAUUUAGUUUAACUAGAGAAAAGUAUGAAACAUGCAAUCAUGCAAUCAUGAGAGUACUGUACCGGGGAAAAGCAGCAAUUUUCAUACUAGGAUGGCCGUUCAAAGGGUGUACGUUUCUCAAAGGCUAAAAACUGGAUAAGGAAAUCACUAGUAACAGAUAUAUGGGGAAUGGUGCUCUCUCAGGAAACAAACUCAGGAAAGACAAUGCGAGACGGGAAUCAAGGGGCGAAGUAGGGAAGGGAUAUUCAAGUCAAGGAUCAAUGUGACGUUCUCGAACAAGAGCAAAUCAAUGAGGCAUAGCUAGCGCAGCUGGCACACAUGAACUGAAAAAGCAUCAAAGAGAGAUUCUGAGAUUCUGCUGGAACGGGGGAUCGGAUAUCAGCGGGGAUUUCUCAGCGGCGCCAUCAGCGAAUGGAAAACCGAACGCAUCGACAAGAAGAUCGGGGAAUGUGCAUAGUGAAGAAUGGAUGGAUGGGCGUUAGAUUGGC